rnacentral:rRNA from 1 species
CUUUACUGUAACUUUGUAUUGAUAUUCAAAAUUAAAUGUGUAGCAUAGUUGGGAGACUUUGAAGUGUUGGCGCUAGCUGGCAUGGAGUCAAAAUGUGAAAUACCAACCUUUUAAUUUUAAAUAUCUAAUCAUGUGUCUUUCAUAAGAUACUGAGACAAUGCAUGGCGGGCAGUUUGACUGGGGCGGUCGCCUCCUAAAGAGUAACGGAGGUGUGCGAAGGUAAGCUCAGGUGGGUUGGAAAUUCACCUUUUGAGUGUAAUGGCAUAAGCUUGCCUGACUGUAAGAUUGACAAAUCGAGCAGAGACGAAAGUCGGUCAUAGUGAUCUGGUGGUUCUGUGAGGAAGGGCCAUCACUCAACGGAUAAAAGGUA